GGUGAGAGUGGUGGUCUCCAAAGAAAGAGUUCUUAGCACUGACAUUUUCUUUGCAGUCAGUAUGGGUCAGAGCUUUUUUUUGCUCCUGUUUCACAAACCCAAGGGCUGUUUCCAAGGUAAUGACAUGGAAUGACCAUGUCCUUCUCCCCAGCCAGCCAGGAAAGCCAAGCACAGGACUGAGCUGCCCCAAGCUAGGAGUUCACCUUCACCUUUCCUGCUCUGUUCAUACUGAUUAGUUUAACAUGGCCCAGCUGGCAGAUGCAAGAAAUACCUCUUGGAAGAAAAGAUUGAGUGGGACAUGUUGGUUGCAGCCUUUGAAUUAGCUGCAGCUGGUUGAAUGUGGGGCAGUGGCUUUGUGCUACAGUGCUGCAAUAAUAGAGGUCUACUGUGGAGACAUACUGGAAAUCAUAAAAAGACCUGAACAAAUCUAUGGACCCAUUUAUCAGCCCCCAGAGCUGUAUGGCAACUCCUGAUAUGCUCCAGAUCUCCAUCUGCAGUAUUACCAUGUUGGUAAGCAUCCUGUAAUAGCAAUGUGCAAGCCUCAACAACAUCCCAGAUCAGCAGCAAACCUGCCAAAACAGCAAGCCAGCCCAGGACUUGAAGAUUGUUAACUAUGUCAGGUCUCACGAUCUGAGGAGGAAGCCUGUGGCUGCUUCACAUAAGGGCCAGAACACAGUGCUACCACAGAAGAGCAUGAGGGGAGUCUCUGACACCUGCAGUUUCCUCCUCUGAAUCCAGUGCCUUCUAUGGACACUGCCUCUUAACCUUAGCCAAAAGCACUGGAUCCACAACGAGCAUUUUGUGCUGCUCUUGUAGCCAGAGGCCAGACUACCAAGAACCAGAACAAACAGCCCUGGUGUUUCCUGCUGUCUGCUACAAACGAGACUUCUCACUACUCACUUUUCUGCUGUAACAUCUUGUGAGGCUUGGAAGUGAGCAGUAAGGCUUGGGAUUACCCACCAUCUAGCUAACAGAACAGCAGCAAUGUUAAGAGGAUACCAUUAGGCUGUGUCCCUUGUCCUCCUUCUGCAGCAUCCAACCACUCUUCAUUUACAACAUGAGUGAUACGUAUGAAUUCUGCACCGCACUUUAGCUUCCUUCCCCCAGCUUCACUAAACUUCCAAAUGGCUGUGGACUUUUGUGUGCUUGUUUAUCAGAACUCAGGCUCAUUGCCUAUUUAUACACAUACGUGUAUUUAUGUGUCUGUGCAUAUGUAUGUAUGCAUGUAAAAAUAUUUAUAUAUAUAUGCA